rnacentral:rRNA from 1 species
CCUACGGGUGGCAGCAGUGGGGAAUAUUGGGCAAUGGAGGAAACUCUGACCCAGCAACGCCGCGUGAAUGAUGAAGGUCUUCGGAUUGUAAAGUUCUUUUCUCAGGGAAGAAGAAAGUGACGGUACCUUAGGCAUAAGCCUCGGCUAACUACGUGCCAGCAGCCGCGGUAAUACGUAGGAGGCAAGCGUUAUCCGGAAUGACUGGGCGUAAAGGGUGCGUAGGUGGUUCAGCAAGUUAGUAGCGUAAUUCCGGAGCUCAACUUCGGCACUACUACUAAAACUGUUGGACUUGAGUGCAGGAGAGGCAACUGGAAUUUCUAGUGUAGCGGUGGAAUGCGUAGAUAUUAGGAAGAACACCGGUGGCGAAGGCGAGUUGCUGGACUGUAACUGACACUGAGGCACGAAAGCGUGGGGAGCAAACAGGAUUAGAUACCCGAGUAGUC